UACGGUAUACCCUGUUUUUUGUUGCGAGUUUACACGUUUGUUUUAGUUGCCGUAGAAUUUAUUUAACAAAAAUGGAUUUCGAUGCUGAGGACAAUCUAACAGUCGAGGAAAUGCACUUUAUAGCCGACUUGGACAGUCGCCAGUUUGGUUUUCUCAAAUUGACAGCGCCUGAAAAUGCAGCCAUACGUAUCAUUGUUGAGCGUGCAGUGAAAAUCCUACAAAAGGUUAUUAUAUCAAGAAAGGAAGAGGAGCAAAGGGAAAAAUUAGCAAUAAAAUCAGAGGAUGUGCCUGAAGAAUCAAACCCACAUGUGAUGAAGACAGAACAGGGAAGUGAUGAACUGUUUCAGGAAAACAGUACCCAAGUGCCUGUUGACUUACCAAGUCCCCAAAAGAAAGAAGAAGAAAGUGUUAAUCAAACGUCUACGGAAACUCCUACCACUAAUCAGGACAGUGGUAAAGAUAAAAAUAAAAUUUCCGUAGAUGUUUUGACUUAUUGUAAGCUGGGACACCUUCAUUUACUUCUUGAAGAGUAUGACGAAGCGCUUGCAGCUUAUCAAAAGUAUUAUCAACUUUGUCCGAAGAACUGGAAAAAUUUGCCUUUUCUGUAUGGCCUUGGGAUGGUUUAUUUCCAUUUUAAUGCAUUUAGAUGGUCUAUUAGAGCGUUUCGAAGUUUACUUUAUCAAGACCCGAAUUUUAUACGGGCUAGUGAAGCACAUUUACGUAUUGGACUUAUGCUAAAAGUCUUUGGGGAGUAUAAACUAUCACUAAAACACUUAAAAUUAGCCCAAAUUGACAAUUCUCCAUGUACAUUUUCUAAACUACAAAUAAAAUUUCACAUUGCCCAUCUAUAUGAAGUUCAUAAUAAGCAUAAAUCGGCCAAAGAGGCCUACGAGCAUCUUCUUAAUAGUAAAGAGCUGACAUUGGAAUUGAAAGCAGAUAUAUAUAGACAAUUAGGAUGGAUGUAUCAUUGUGUGGAAUCAUUAGGAGAUAAAAAACAACGAGAUAAUUAUGCAAUAAUAUGUUUACAAAAGUCAAUUGAAGCAAAUCCGAAAUCAGGACAAUCACUGUAUUUAUUAGGCAGAUGUUAUGCGGGUAUUAAUAAAGUUCACGACGCAUUCAUAGCUUACAGAAACUCUGUGGAAAAGAGUGAAGGAAACGCCGAUACGUGGUGUUCUAUCGGAGUUUUAUAUCAGCAGCAAAGUCAACCGACAGACGCGCUUCAAGCGUAUAUAUGUGCAGUUCAACUUGACAAGAAUCAUAAGGCGGCAUGGACUAACCUUGGAAUAUUGUAUGAGAGUUGUGGUCAACCAAGGGAUGCGUAUGCAUGUUAUUUAAAUGCAACAAGAAGUAUUAAAAAUAAUACCCAACCAAAGGCUACAGUUAACGAUAGCAAAGCGGGAAGUUUAAAUCUUAAACUCCGUACCACAGGAAAUUUAACUUCACGAGAGUGUCAAGGUUUGGGUAAAGGAUUGUCUCAACGUAUAAAAUUUUUAGAAACUCAAUUAGCCCAAGCGCCUAUGCCAAGUAUUACUUCAAAGAGAAGACAACUUUGUUCGAUUGAAGAAGCUUGGAAUUUACCAAUUUCAUUGGAAAUGAGUUCGAGGCAACAACACCAACAAGCUACACAAGUGCAGCAACGUCAAUAUGGCAAAAGUGCUCACGGUUCGGUAAUUCAGGGCCCACCUCCACCAUAUCCACACACACAUCAGAAUAUAAAUAAUGUACCAACAAAGCGUUUCAAAGAUGAGGCCCUCCAACAAACCGAGUCCGGCAAUCGCCCAGCGCAACCGGCGUUCUUCCUUACACAGCAACAACUACAAACAUUACAAUUUUUGCAACAAAACCAAAGCACGCUUAAUCAUCAAGAGCAGGCGUUGUUCCAACAACUCAGCAGUCAAUAUCGCCUUAUGCAACAAUAUCAACAAGCAAUGAGACAGCAGAACACGUGUCAAUUGCCGCAAAAUGUACAAGCGCAACAAUUACAAUCGCCUUCGCUGCAAUCAGCGACAGGACAACCUAUACACUCCACAGCGUCAUCUUCGUUAACGACCGGAAAUAUAACUGAAGCGACGGGAGUAACGUCAAAUACGAAUGCACCUCCCGCAUACAGUGGAACGCGUGAUGAUCAAACAAAAGCAGUCGUGCCAAAGCCAUCCACAUCAACUAUUGAAUCUGGAGUGCUGACGCAGUUGUCACCGAGUAAUGAUCAAUUGGGUGUCAGUGAUCAGGAGCUUCAGGUGUUUCUCUCACAAAAAGGUUUAUCCUCAACGUUUGCUGAAGAUCUUUUAAAGACAUUUAACCCUGAUAACCUAGAUAUUAAGGAAGAAGAUAUAGACGGCACUACUGAGGAUUUAUUCAAUGGUCUCGAUAAGAAUUUAACCACCGCCGAUAAAAGCAAUACACUCACAUCCAUCGUCAGCGGCCAGCAACCAACAGGUGAAACUAACAGUACAGAAACUGCUGGUGUCGUAAAAGAAGAAACCGAUGCGGAACAAAACUCAGCCGAUGUAAAAUCGGAAAAUUUUCAUGGCGACGAAUAUGACGAUCGAGACAAAUAUGAUGAUGACCUUGAAGAGCCUUCGAAAUUUAGCAUACAAAUGGAUUCGAAACAACUGAUUGCAGCUGUUAAAAAUCUAUCGCUCGAAGAACCACCGCCUCAUUGUUCCGUAUUACAUAUAAAUGCGCCACCGCCUUCGCCGCCAGAUUGCCCGCCACAACGUCUUACCCGUGAACAACUACUGCCGCCCACGCCAUCCGUACAUUUAGAGAACAAGAAGCACGCUUUCAGUCCGCAAUUGCAAGAGUUUUGCCUCAAGCAUCCGAUAGCUGUAGUACGUGGCUUGGCUGGUGCACUGAAAUUAGAUUUGGGUCUAUUCUCUACCAAAACGCUCGUCGAAGCCAAUCCCGAUCAUAGUGUUGAGGUACGCACACAAGUGCAUCAGUCACCAGAUGAGAACUGGGAUGCGUCUCAAGCAAAACGUGUCUGGGCAUGCAUAUCGCACCGUUCGCAUACGACUAUUGCAAAAUAUGCGCAAUAUCAGGCGUCCAGCUUUCAAGAUAGUUUAAAGGAUGAACAUGAUAAAGGACCAACUGGCGUACCAACAAUGUCCGAUUCAGAUUCUAAAGAUUCAGUAAGCAAUUCCAAUGUUAGUGGCAAGCGGAAAAAGCUUAAAAAUGGCAACAAAAUGUUGAGAUUUGGCACCAAUGUCGAUCUGUCGGAUGAACGAAAAUGGCGUUCACAACUGGCCGAAUUGCAAAAAUUGCCGGCAUUUGCGCGCGUCAUAUCAGCAGCCAAUAUGCUAUCACAUGUCGGUCAUGUCAUUUUGGGCAUGAACACGGUGCAGUUGUACAUGAAAGUGCCGGGUAGUCGUACACCGGGUCAUCAGGAGAAUAACAAUUUUUGCUCGAUAAAUAUAAACAUUGGUCCGGGCGAUUGUGAGUGGUUUGCCGUGCCCGAUGCCUAUUGGGGUGGCAUACAUAAUCUGUGCGAAAAAAAUAAUAUCAGCUAUUUGCACGGUUCGUGGUGGCCGGUGUUAGAAGACUUGUAUAAGGAGAAUAUACCCGUUUAUCGUUUCAUACAACGACCGGGCGACUUGGUUUGGGUGAAUGCAGGUUGUGUACAUUGGGUGCAGUCAGUCGGUUGGUGCAAUAAUAUAGCAUGGAAUGUGGGCCCACUGACGGCGCGUCAAUAUUCCUUAGCGGUUGAACGGUAUGAAUGGAAUAAACUGCAAAACUUCAAAAGUAUUGUGCCCAUGGUGCAUCUCAGUUGGAAUCUCGCUAGAAAUAUUAAGGUUUCAGACCCAAAACUGUUUGAGCUUGUCAAAAUGUGUCUGCUGCAGACACUGAAAAAUGUUGUGCACACCUUGGAGUAUGUAAAAUCGAAAGGUGUGGAAGUGCGCUUUCAUGGGCGUGGAAAAAAUGAAGCCUCACAUUAUUGUGGACAAUGCGAGGUUGAAGUUUUUAACAUUUUAUUUAUACGCGAACAAGAGAAGCGGCACGUUGUGCACUGUAUGGCCUGUGCACGUAAGCUAUCACCAAAUUUGCAAGGCAUCGUUUGUUUGGAGGAAUAUCGUUUAAGCGAACUUUUACAAAUAUACGAUGCUUUCGCGUUGUAUAAAGUACCACAGACACUGCCACAAAGUCCGAAUUCGUCGAAUAUUUAAUAUUAUAAGAAUUAUAUUAACGUGUAUGAUGAGAAUGAUGAACAAGAUGAUGUCGUCGAUGAUGUUUGAUGCUGAUAAUGUUUGUCGGAUAUAUAGGUCUAUUGCUAAUAAAUAAUUAUACAAUUUUUAUAAUAGACAACAACAAAAAUGCACUGGUAUUAUACUUACGUAGGCAUAUUUUUAUAAUAUUAUACAAAAUACAAUUUCAUUUUUAGCAAGUUUACGAGUAAAUUUACGCUCUUUCAUAUAGACGGUUAGCACGAUAUACAUACAUAAAUCAUCAUUAUUGUUCUACGUAAUUUUAUUUCUUAGACACUAAGGCAUUUCUCAUCUAUACGAUACAUAUAUAAAUAAGUAUAUAAUUGUACAUGGUACAUGUGCGAAAGUUAUAUACAAAAAAAAAAAAAAACACACACACAUUU
rnacentral:misc_RNA from 1 species